rnacentral:rRNA from 1 species
AUUGAACGCUGGCGGCAGGCCUAACACAUGCAAGUCGAACGAGUGGCGGACGGGUGAGUAAUGUCUGGGAAACUGCCUGAUGGAGGGGGAUAACUACUGGAAACGGUAGCUAAUACCGCAUACCAUCAGAUGUUCCCAGAUGGGAUUAGCUGGUUGGUGGGGUAACGUCUCACCAAGGCGAGGAUCCCUAGCUGGUCUGAGAGGAUGACCAGCCACACUGGAACGGAGACACGGUCCAGACUCCUACGGGAGGCAGCAGUGGGGAAUAUUGCACAAUGGGCGCAAGCCUGAUGCAGCCAUGCCGCGUGUAUGAAGAAGGCCUUCGGGUUGUAAAGUACUUUCAGCGGGGAGGCGUUACCCGCAGAAGAAGCACCGGCUAACUCCGUGCCAGCAGCCGCGGUAAUAC